GAUGAACGCUAGCGGCAGGCUUAAUACAUGCAAGUCGAGGGGCAGCAGGACUGUAGCAAUACAGUUGCUGGCGACCGGCAAACGGGUGCGGAACACGUACGCAACCUACCCAAAACUGGGGGAUAGCCCGGGGAAACCCGGAUUAAUACCUCGUAACCUUUUUAAGUGGCAUCACUUGAUAAGUAUAGCUCCGGCGGUUUUGGAUGGGCGUGCGCCUGAUUAGGUAGUUGGUGCGGGUAACGGCCCACCAAGCCUGCGAACAGUAACUGGUGUGAGAGCACGACCAGUCACACGGGCACUGAGACACGGGCCCGACUCCUACGGGAGGCAGCAGUAAGGAAUAUUGGUCAAUGGACGCAAGUCUGAACCAGCCAUGCCGCGUGAAGGAUGAAGGUCCUCUGGAUUGUAAACUUCUUUUAUGGGGGACGAAACCCGGAUAUUCUUAUCCGAUUGACGGUACCUCAGGAAUAAGCACCGGCUAACUCCGU
rnacentral:rRNA from 1 species